GACGAACCGUGCGAACGUUAUUCGGAAUCACUGGGCUUAAAGCGCGUGGUAGGCGGGCCGGCACGUCGGUCGCUGGAAAUCCCCGGCUCAACCGGGGGAAGGGGCGCCGAUCACGACCGGGCCUGGAGGGGCGUAGGGGGGACCGGGAACUUCCGGGUGGAGCGGUGGAAAUGCGGUUGAGAUCGGAAGGAACGCCCGUGGCGAAAGCGCGGUCCUGGACGCCUGCUGACGGCUGAGACGCGAAAGCCAGGGGAGCGAACGGG
rnacentral:rRNA from 1 species